rnacentral:rRNA from 1 species
CAGUAGCCGCGGUAAUACGUAGGGUGCAAGCGUUAAUCGGAAUUACUGGGCGUAAAGCGUGCGUAGGCGGUUUGUUAAGUCUGCUGUGAAAUCCCCGGGCUCAACCUGGGAAUGGCAGUGGAUACUGGCAAGCUAGAGUGUGUCAGAGGAUGGUGGAAUUCCCGGUGUAGCGGUGAAAUGCGUAGAGAUCGGGAGGAACAUCAGUGGCGAAGGCGGCCAUCUGGGACAACACUGACGCUGAGGCACGAAAGCGUGGGGAGCAAACAGGAUUAGAUACCCCCGUAGUCCCUGUCUCUUAUAC